rnacentral:rRNA from 1 species
CUACGGGAGGCAGCAGUGGGGAAUAUUGGACAAUGGGCGCAAGCCUGAUCCAGCCAUGCCGCGUGGGUGAAGAAGGCCUUCGGGUUGUAAAGCCCUUUUGUCCGGAAAGAAAAGCACUGGAUUAAUACUUCGGUGUUCUGACGGUACCGGAAGAAUAAGCACCGGCUAACUUCGUGCCAGCAGCCGCGGUAAUACGAAGGGUGCAAGCGUUACUCGGAAUUACUGGGCGUAAAGCGUGCGUAGGUGGUUCGUUUAGUCUGAUGUGAAAGCCCUGGGCUCAACCUGGGAAUUGCAUUGGAUACUGGCGGGCUAGAGUGCGGUAGAGGAUGGCGGAAUUCCCGGUGUAGCAGUGAAAUGCGUAGAGAUCGGGAGGAACAUCUGUGGCGAAGGCGGCCAUCUGGACCAGCACUGACACUGAGGCACGAAAGCGUGGGGAGCAAACAGGAUUAGAAACCCGGGUAGUCC